rnacentral:misc_RNA from 1 species
AUUUUCUACCCGGCUUUUAGUCAGUACUGACACAAUCCUAUUUUGUGCACGACUGGAAUAUACAUAAAAAAGUAACCCCUAUAUCAAACACAUUCUUAUAAUCAAAUAGCAGGUAAAUUUGAGACUUAUAUAUAAACCAUUAUAUAUCGUUACAAUUCGAAUCGGAAUAAAUGCAAGAAUUGUGUGUGUGAAGAUGCCUAUUUUUGCUCAGUUCACUAUAAUCCCUAAAAAGUGCUAUUUUUGCUUUGGUUUUUCUGCCUAUUUUAGAAUUUUCUUAUAUAUCAUUAAACAAAAUCUUGAAUAUUUAUAAUGAGAAUUAUCAUAUGACGUAAUCGUUUUUGACAAAAGUGAUAAAAUCCUUGUACAAUCAAGUUAAAACUGAUACCCUUAUUAAAGAUGUCACUGAACGUAGGGAUGCCCUUAUCAAACGUUCAAUCCUCCGGGUCUUCUCAAAAUGCCUUAGAAAUGAAUAAAAUUUGCCAAUGGAUUCUCGAAUUAAACCAUCCAGAUACUAGGGAAAAUGCAUUAUUAGAGUUAAGUAAAAAGCGUGAAGUUGUCACCGAUUUGGCUCCCAUGUUGUGGAAUUCUUUCGGAACAAUCGCCGCCCUUUUACAAGAAAUUGUUAGCAUAUAUCCAGCUAUAAAUCCCCCUCAUCUUACAGCUCAUCAGUCUAACAGAGUAUGUAACGCCUUAGCACUUCUUCAGUGCGUUGCAUCACAUCAAGACACGAGGUCGGCUUUUCUUCAAGCACAUAUUCCUUUAUGGUUGUAUCCAUUUUUACAUACUGGGUGUAAAACUAGACCCUUCGAAUACUUAAGGCUAACAAGUCUGGGGGUAAUUGGAGCCCUUGUUAAAACAGACGAACAAGAGGUUAUCAACUUCCUUUUAACAACAGAAAUUAUUCCAUUAUGUCUUAGAAUUAUGGAAACUGGCAGCGAGUUAUCCAAAACUGUAGCUACAUUCAUACUGCAAAAGAUAUUACUUGAUGAAACUGGUCUAUCAUACAUUUGUCAAACUUAUGAAAGAUUUUCUCAUGUUGCCAUGAUACUCGGCAAAAUGGUACUACAAUUAUCUAAGGAACAAUCUGGUCGUUUAUUGAAGCAUGUCGUCAGAUGCUAUCUCAGGCUCAGCGAUAAUCCAAGAGCAAAAGAAGCUUUACGCCAAUGUUUACCUGACCAAUUGAAGGAUACAACAUUUCAAAAUGUAUUAAAAGACGACACCUCAACUAAGCGAUGGCUUCAGCAGCUUUUUAAGAAUCUGGAAGCUCCUGCUACUUCCAAUAAUCAACAACAACCGUCUCUUAUGAUUCAACCUCAACAACCUAGGAACCUGUGAAUUUAACACUACAUCACUACUAUUGAAAUGAAGACAAGAGAUACAUAGAAAAUGCUUGACUUAUAAAUAUAUUUUAUGUAUAGCGUUGAUCAUAUAUUCUAUCAUUUGUAAUCUCUAUAAGAUAAGAGAACUAUAUUGUAAUUAAUAUAUAUUGUAAUAUACAUAAGAUAAUAAAACUUCCGAAAGGCCUAUAUUAACAGG